rnacentral:lncRNA from 1 species
CUGUCGCCCAGGCUGGAGUGCAGGGGCGCGAUCUCGGCUCACUGCACUCCGCCUCCCGGGUUCAAGCGAUUCUCCCACCUCAGCCUCCCGACCAAAACAGAUUCUUAAUAUGGCUGGCCCUGCACAGCCCAGAUCACCUUGGGAAAAUAGCCUGAAAUUGACUUUACAUCAUGCAGAUUCAAGACUAUCUGGCUCUGUAUUAAGUCAUGGACAAAAAAAAAAAAAAAAAAAAAAUGGCCAAUUGAUGGGGCAGAGGGAAAGGGGGAAGGAGGAAGAGAGAGGAAUGAGUGUAAGACUGGCAAUUUAUUUGAAGAAGGAAGAAAAGAAGAUAAAAUGAACACUCUUCAGAAGGUUUUCAAUGACCAGAGUUAAUUUUCUUUAAUUUUCACACACUGAUCAAAUCAAGGGAACUGUAAUCAGUCUCUUUUUCCCCAUUCCCUCCUCUGGCUUGAUCUGAACAUGGAAAAUCAGUCAGCCUUCUUCUUUAUUAUUUUUUAUUUUAUUUUAUUUUAUUUUUUGAGACGGAGUCUCCCUCUGUUGCCCAGGCUGGAGUGCAGUGAUGUGAUCUCAGCUCACUGCAACCUUCGCCUCCCAGAUCCAAGCGAUUCUCUUGCCUCAGCCUCCUGAGUAGCUGACACUACAGGUAUGAGCCACCGUGCCCGGCCAGUCCAUUCUUUUCUAAGCUCUGUGCACCAGGCUGGCAACACUUGUUUAAAAACCCAUUCUAUACUUCUCUGUUUUAACUUUUAACCCUCUCCCUGGGACAUGUGAAGAGGAAAAGUGAGCCCCAACACAUAAGAAUGAAGAGGAGAAGAAUGUGGGCUGCAUUUCCCAUGGGACACUGGAAAUGCUGGCUUCAUGGAGACAAGAUUCUUUUUCAGAAUCCCUACACAAAUUGCUGGAAAGAACUUCCAAGGAGGCAUGUGCUUACAGCCAGCCUCUCUUCCCCCGCUACUUUCUCUACGGGGUGAGGCAGCCAGGAUCUCCUGAUUUACAGGCCCUGGAAGCCAUCCAGCAGACUUACCAUAGAAGAAAGAUAAGCUGGGCAAAGUCACAUUUGUAACUUUAUCUUUUUUAAAAAAAAUAAUUUCAUAAAAUACGGAAAUGGGUUGAGUAGCACUUGCAAUUUAUUUCCAAAAAUCAGGCUAAAAAGAGACACCUGUGUCACAUGAGGAGAGAUGCCAUCUCUAGACUGGACUUUGUCCUUGACUGACACAAGGGCAAGCCUGAGCUCAUAAACGGCUUCUCCAUCUCCAUGAGCUGUCAGCACAAAGGUAACUGCCUCUCCACGGAGGAAAAAGGUCUUCACCCGGAACUCUUGGCGAUGAACUGACCAAGUAAGGGAUGAGGAGGAGGAGCUUCUCAAGAGUUCCUAGAGAAAGACGAUGCCUGGGGAAGAUAAUGGCCAGUAGAGUUGGUGCCAGGGACUCUAGAAGGAAGAGGCUGGAGACAUCCAAGAGAAAUAUGAUCAGGAACUGGACUGAGACAGUGCUUGGAAGAUGAGUGGGGAGACAGAAAGGAAAAGGCAAGCUCUGGAAGCUGACAAAGUAUGGAAGGAAGGGCAAUGGCCUGUGGAAAAUAACUGAGACUUGCUGCCUGUGAGGCCAAUGACAUGCUGUCUUUGCCCACUGCUCCUGUCAGGUAAAUCCAUUCUCUCAGGGAGGAACUGCUUUACAAUUUCAGCAGAGAUGCCCAGCAGCUCAGUCAUCAUUUUUAAGCAGUGUGUUCAUCUCACACCAGUGGGUGACAUGUAAAGAUGUGCGGUUCAAGGUGUGUCAGAGGCCAGGAGCACCCAGCAAACCUGACUGGGGUGUCAGAGGAGGGGCCCAGGGCCUGAAUCUGUGCUCACCUCCUGGAUAUUCUGCUUUGCCCGGCUGUCAGAGGGAUGCAUGAUGGUCCCCAUCACUUUCAUGUUGCCACAGACAACCAGGGCUUCGUCCGGCGCAUCUGUGUUGAUUCCUACUCGACCGUGACAGACAAUAGAUUCUGGAACUUGUCCUCGCUGCCACAAUGCAUCACUGUCAUUUUCAAACUGCCCAGGGUUAGAGGCCUGGAAAAAUACAUAAAUAUAUUACAAUUAAAGUAACAGUAGCAGGAAUAGAUGAUCACAUUAGUGUUCAGAGCAAAGGCAAACUGAAUAUUAUCUAAGUCUUUCAUAAGAGAAUCCUGUAUUGAGUGGGACAUUCUGACAUAUCCAAGUAAUUCCGGGGCCCAGGAGAGCCAGGGAGGCUUCCCUAACCACUCUGCCUCCCCGCUAGCAGGAGCUCUGUAUACCCUGAUUUGAAACAUCCAAUCUCUAUUGCAUCUAUCUGGAAUUAAGAAUGUGAUCAGUUAUACUAGGUGGAUGAUAAAGAAGAAAACUAAAAAUGGCUAUCUUUCCAGGAAUAGUCAUCAUCAUCAUGAUUUAAAAUCAGAACAUUAUAUCAGAAAAUAUUACAGGUGUACUAAAGUCAGAUAAAUAAAAAUACCUUGCAUUUAGCUAGCCCUAUUAUAGUUUCAAAAUGCUUUUAUAUUUAUGAUUUCAUACACAAGUGACAAGCAAAUGAUAAUACAAAUAUAUUUAAUAUACAUCAACUAUUCCCUAAACACAGAGGAUACUGAAGGAAGAAUAAUAACAGCUACAUUUGUUGUGCGAUAAUUCACAGUGCAAUUAUAUGAGACACGUACUAUUGUCCUCAUUUUAUUGACACUGACACUCUGAAAAGAUAAAUAAAUUGCCCAAAGCCACAAAGCUAAUAAGUUCUGGAGCUGGAACUACAAGUCCUCUGAUUAUUAAAUAAUGAUUUGCCUGUUUCACGGCAUUGCUUAGAAGUAGUCCUGGCAAUCUUCAAAGAAAAUCCAAGUGAAACCAUUGGACUAGACAAAGUUCUGGAGAUUUUACUCUUAAAUAAAAUUCUUUGUCAAAGAAUGUUCCACUGCACUGCCUUCCUUCCUGCUUCCCUGUAGCCACUGAAUAUAUUCCCAAAUAUUUUAAAGUAAGCAUCUCUAAAUCCCUCAAAAUCCUCACAACAAAAUUAAUUUGUUUUUAAAAUUAUGAUGUAUUUUUAUGAUUGAGGCAGGCUGUCACAACUUUAGAUAAACAGUUGUGAUCCUGAUUAUCUAAAAAGUCAGUACUAAUACUUGACUUUUUACCUUUCUGGUGGUAUAUGAUACAUUGCAGGCUCAGCACCUGAAUAUGCAUAGAUUUUCUCUGAAGACUACUCAGGAAACCAAUAACAAUGGUUUCCUCAAGGAUGGAGCCUGGGAGAUGGAGAAACAGUGGUAGGAGGGAGAUUCACCUUUCACUAUAUACUCUCUUGGUAUUGUUUGAGUGUUUUUGUCAUAUGCAUUUGUUACAAUUUUAAAAAUAAUUAAAAGAAACCACAAAGUUUAUUUCUUAGUUUGGGUUUAAAGAACUUUUUGAUGUCUUCAAUUUCCUAAUUCAAUCCCAAGUGUCUGAACCCUGAGCUGCUUGGAAGACUCAACCAUUGAUACUUGAUAAACAGAAGCAGUGAAAGAGGCCAGGUGUGUGGUGGCUCACACCUGUAAUCCCAGCACUUUGGGAGGCUGAGGUGUGUGGAUCACCUGAGGUCAGGAGUUCAAGACCAGCCUGGCCAACAUGGUGAAGCCCCAUCUCUACUAAAAAUACAAAAAUUAGCCAUGUGUGGUGGCAUGUUCCUAUAGCCCCAGCUACUCAGGAGGCUGAGUCAGGAGGAUCACUUUAACUCAGGAGGCAGGGGUUGCAGUGAGCUGAGAUCAUGCCACUGCACUCCAGCCUAGGGGACAGAGCAAUACUCUGUCUCAAGAAAAUUUAAAAAAAACAAAAAAAAACAGCAGUGAAAGAAUGUAAUGGGGUGGGAGGGUAGUGGGGAGUGGGGGAAGAGUAUAAAGUAAAAACUUUGAACAUUAUUUUGUGUAAAUUUACUUGAACAAAGAGCUUUUCUGCAAGUUCCCUAGAGCCCCUUGGUUGUGAAUGGCAAAUUGGCUUUGACUCAAAUCCUUUUAUAGCAACCAAUCAACUAAAUCCAAAGGUAUGCCAUAUAAGAUGGUGAUGUAUUUUUCUCUAUUUUGAACAUAAUGAGCCACUUCAAGGAAACAAAAUAAGACAGUGAUGAAUUUUUUCAUAAUGAGCUUUGGGAUAGUUAUUAUCAUGUUGGUAACUUGAUACUGGAACAGCAGAUAUAAGUGGAUUUAAUUUUUUGGAACAAUUGCAAUACUCUCACUUAGCUCUCAUCAGAUGAAAACUCAAAUCCCUAAAAUAUGUUCACAUUAUUUUGGAAAGGGCCACAGAUUCACAACAUUCUAAAUAUAUAGCCCUAGGGAGAAUUCCUCAUCAGUAACAGGAAAUGUUCUCAUAAGAUCUGUGAACUUAUUUCCUUUCUCUGGAAUCCACAACCUUCAUGUGUGAAAGCAAGCCACAAUAUACUACCUCUUUCUGGAAUUAUGAGUUUGUAUUCACAUGUGACCCAAUAGUGGCUGAUGGAUAUCAAACACCAAAACAAAUUAAUUAAAAUGUCUAAAAUAUUUUUAUUGUUUGUGUCAUAUCCUCUUAUUUAGGGAAGAGACCCGAGCAUUCUAGUCUAUGUUAUAACACAAACUAGCUGUGUGACCUUGGGGCAGCCACUUAAUCUUUCUCUGUACUGUGUCCUCCUCUGAUGAAUAAAGAAUCAUGUCUCCUUUACCCACCUCAUAGGGUUAUUGUGGGAUUAAGUGAAAUCAUGUGUGCAUGAACAGUUUGCAAAAAUGAGGAUGAAAAGUCUCAAAGUUAUUCUCGACACACUCUCCUGGGCACAGCAGCAGCUAUUUAACCUAUAAUUGCUUCAUCUGCUCUCCUCAGCAACGCACCUGCAGAGUUGCACAAUUCCAGGGGGACGCCUUUCAUAAAAAAUACAAUGUAAAUGGCGCCCCCUGCAGGUUAUUGGAAUAGAAAACAGCAUCAGCAGCAAUUUGAAGGCUAUGCUGAGUUAGAAGUGAAAAGCUGGAAUUUGUUUUACCAUCGUUUGGGAUUCGAAAGCAGCAGCCAAUGAACUAAUAGAAGAGCUUGACCUGAGGAAGGCAGCUCUUAGGAAGUCCAUUUUUGCACCUUUUGAGAGGGUUACAGAAAAAGGACCUAGAAAUACUCUCUGCUGGUGCUACUCAAAGCAUGGUCUGCAGGCUAGCAAUAUCAGCAUCUCCUGGAAGCCUGUUAGAAAUGCAUAUUCUCAGGCAUCCCUGACCUACUGAAUCAAAAACACAGGUAUCUGUGUUCUUACAAGCUCUCUGGGGAUUCUUAUUCAUAAUACAAGCUUGAGAACUACUUCUUUAUGCCAUGUACUCCUGGUCGUAAGUUGCCCUUCUGUAGUUGACAGAAAGAUCUGUUGAGUCCAAAACAGGCAUUACUCCAUAAACUGUUUUCUUUGAGUAAACAAACAUUCAUCUGAACUCCAAA